UCACCAGCAAAAACAUUUCACGAAAGUAAAACCCGUAGAUAAGCCGAUCCCCUUCUACAGACUGCUUUUUUGGUCCUUAAAAUUCGGCUUAUCUACG